rnacentral:lncRNA from 1 species
AGGCCCGGCGCAGUGGCUCAUGCCUGUAAUCCCAGCACUUUGGAAGGCCGAGGCAGGUGGAUCACCUGAGGUCAGGAGUUCAAGACCAACUUGGCCAACAUGGUGAAACCCCAUCUCUAGUAAAAAUACAAAAAUUAGCCGGGUGUGGUGGUGGGUGCCUGUAAUCCCAGCAACUUGGGAAGCUGAGGCAGGAGAAUUGCUUGAACCCGGGAGGCAGAGGUUGCAGUGAGCCGAGAUUGUGCCACUGCACUCCAGCUUGGGUGACAGAGUGAGACUCCGUCUCAAAAAAAAAAAAAAAAAAAAAAAAGCUUACUUUUGCAACCAGGAAAAAAAAAGUAUUUUGCAAAGAGUUCUAAAGGCUCCAGCACAAGGCAGUGUAUCUGUAUCACAGCACAGGUGAAAAACAAGAACAAGAUGGAAUUCUCAGAAGAGGAUGAGCAGAACUUGGACAUCCCAGAAAAAAGGUGUCUGGACUGAACCCGACCACAGUUGGCCAAGGACUUUCACCAAUUCUUCAUACAUAGGAAUGGUACAUUAGAAUCCUAUUAUAUAUUCCUUAGGGUCACAGAUGAUUCUGUUUAUGUUAAUUGUACAGUAAAAUUGGUGCGGAUUCAUUCUCAUGUUGUCCUUUGUUCUCUUCAAAAUGUUCCAAGUUAAGGAGUGAAGCCUAAAUAUGUUCAUUACAUCAAAAUACUGGUACCCCCAGUGUACGGGAGCCAGAGGUGUACACAUUCCAGUACUUAUUUGUUAUGACUUGUUUCUAUCUAGGAGAGCAAUAUAUUACCCUUUCACUGUAUCAGUUUCUUUGGUCCAUCCAACCAGGUGUUGUUGUCCUUCUAUAAGAAGAAAUACUUAAGCUACACAUAGUAGUAGAUGACUUAUUAUUCAGGGUUUCUCUGACUGAAAUGUCACUAUAACAUCAGUCAUUUGACUCCUAAUCCAGUAGAUAUAAACAGUGCCUGGAACAGUCUAUUAUAACACUCUGAAAACAUUUGGUAAAUAUAUGAAUUUUAAUAAAAGGAAAGAUUGCUGCUCAACACCAAAAUCUGUGUGACUAUUUCUCAUAACCUCAAAGUAUUAGUAAACAAUCGUCCUGUUCAUUGGUUCUUUUAUGUCCAAAGAGCUUGUUAGCAUGGAGAAAAAUACUGAUAUGAUUUGGCUUUGUGUCCCCACCCAAAUAUCAUCUCAAAUUGUAAUCCCCAUGUGUCAAGGGAGAAACCUAAUGGGAAGUGAUUGAAUCAUUGGGGCAUUUCCCCCAUGCUGUUCUUGUGAUAGUGAGUGAGUUCUCUUGAGAUCUGAUGGUUUUAUAAGGGACUUCCGCUUCGCUCACUCACACUCUGUCUUGCCUGCCGCCAUGUAAGACAUGCC